rnacentral:rRNA from 1 species
CCCUUAGAUGUUCUGGGCUGCACGCGCGCUACACUGAAGCGUUCAACGAGUAUUUCACCUUGCCCGGGAGGGUUGGGUAAUCUUUUUAAAACGCUUCGUGAUGGGGAUAGAUUAUUGCAAUUAUUAAUCUUCAACGAGGAGUUCCUAGUAAGCGCGAGUCAUCAGCUCGUGCUGAUUACGUCCCUGCCCUUUGUACACACCGCCCGUCACUCCUACCGAUUGAGUGAUCCGGUGAAUAAUUCGGACUGCAGCAGUGCUUGGUCCUCCGGGCUUUGCAGCGGAAAGUUUAGUGAACCUUAUCACUUAGAGGGAGGAGAAGUCGUAACA